UAUGAAUUAUCAUUACAGAGCAUUACAAAGUGAAAGAAGAUAAAUCAAGAUGCUGUGAUUAAUCACAAUAAUGGGCGAAAGCUGUUGUUGGAAUUCCUAUGACAUUCGAUUGGAAUACCAGUCAUUUAAAAGGCUGUCAUUUGCAUUGUUACCUCUUGUGGAACAGAUCUGUGGGGGUACUGAGAUGACUUCAUUGUGAACUCCAUGAAGGCAGGGAGCCACAUCAUCGCUACAUUUGGAACCUCUCCUGGUGCCAAAUAUGGGGCUCUGCAUUCAGUAGGCAUUUAAUAACCGUAUCAGGUGUGAGAGGUGUUCGAGGACAGGGAGAAAGACUGGCUGUGUGUGGACACCGAGAACACUCUGCCAGCCAGGAUGAACCAAAGAAGACAUCAGGAUGUUCAGAGGCUGCUCAGAAAAGGAAGUUAGCAGCCUGGAGCAUAAUGGACCACACGCAUUCUCCUAAAGAAGUAUUAUCCUGAGAAGUGGCCCAAACACUUUGCCAGACUGCCAAGUGGGUCCAGGACAUAAUAAAACUUAAGAAUCCCUGGAUCA
rnacentral:lncRNA from 1 species